rnacentral:lncRNA from 1 species
CUUUUGUAGCUUUCACAGGAAGCUUCUACCACUGUGUCUAUAGUUACUGCUUUGUUUCUUCCAGAGAAUCCACUGGUCAGAGAAAAGAAGAUGUCAAAAUGUCAGCAUGUGAGCUGGAAACUUGGUCACUAAAGGGAGAAGAUGAAGGACCCAAGAGUGGGGCCUUAGAGGGGACCGGAAAUUGGAAGAAGUUUGUUUUGCUUUGGAAAUCACUGGAUCCCAGUGCUGGACUUGUCAGGGUGGGAUAUCUGUGCCCAGUCUCUGUCUGUAUCCUGUACACCCACCUAGCUGGAGCUGCAGCCCAGCAGUGCACAGGGCUCACUCUGGCAAAGCCCAUUCCCAUAAUUGAAUAUAAUCCUACUGUUACUUCGCAGGUCUUCCGGUCAGAAAAAUAGAGGCAAUUUUCAACACUUGCCUUCAUUUCAUUACUUAGAAAGAAAACGUAGCUAAAGGGGUGAAAAAUAGAAGAGGGAAUUUUGUAGUGUGGUUCCUGGUCCCAGUCUUUUGGGUCACCGUCCACCCAGUUUUGUUUAGCUGUCCUGCCAUACACCCGAGGCAUGUACUUAGGUACACCCAAGACUUACGGCUUUUCGGAGCCUAUUUGUAGCAUGAAGAAUGAGAGUGGCCUGAUGCUCGUCCUCCACGUCUUGUGACACGCUUCACACAAAGACACAUGCGGUCCCAGCCGGCUCGUUUUCCCUUGAACAGAAACUUCGCUCCUUGAUGAUCUCACUUCAGACACUGCUUUCCCUAAACCUCUCCUUGACUGGAAUCAUGCUAAUGUUGACAGCUCUCCCCACCCCCACCGCUUUGUUACAUCCUGCAAGCCAGGGAUAAUGGGAGGUGAGCUUGUCGGGGAAGAUGAAAGAUGGCAAGAAAUGGGUGUUUGGGGACCAGUUCUUUGGUGACAUGGACUCUGCAACCCUUUUUUCCCUCUCAGUACCUUCCUCUCUCUCGCCUUCUCCCUCUCCCUCACUCCCCCUUCCUGCUCUCCCUCUCAUUCUCUCUGAAAUGGUGUGUGCCUCCAGUAAUUUACAUAAUACUCUUCUGACACCUUUACUUUAGUCAUCAAUCACGGUACCUUCUCUCAG